rnacentral:lncRNA from 1 species
ACUAACCGAGAUCAUAACUUAGUCCAAGACAGACAAUCUCAUGCAUAAGUCCAUGGACAUUAUACCACGCAUAAAUCUGUGGAGGCUAUCCCAUGCAUAAGCUCGAGGUUGCCAUCCUAUGGCUAAAUUAAUCCAAAUCAUACUCAUCAGUCUCAUUUACAAGUUAUAUGCACUUGUGAUCCAGGCAUCCACUUCAAAUCUCCUACCCGCGAUCUCAAUC